CCUUUUGUAUAAUGGGUCAGCGACUUAUAUUCUGUAGCAAGGUUAACCGAAUAGGGGAGCCGAAGGGAAACCGAGUCUUAACUGGGCGUUAAGUUGCAGGGUAUAGACCCGAAACCCGGUGAUCUAGCCAUGGGCAGGUUGAAGGUUGGGUAACACUAACUGGAGGACCGAACCGACUAAUGUUGAAAAAUUAGCGGAUGACUUGUGGCUGGGGGUGAAAGGCCAAUCAAACCGGGAGAUAGCUGGUUCUCCCCGAAAGCUAUUUAGGUAGCGCCUCGUGAAUUCAUCUCCGGGGGUAGAGCACUGUUUCGGCAAGGGGGUCAUCCCGACUUACCAACCCGAUGCAAACUGCGAAUACCGGAGAAUGUUAUCACGGGAGACACACGGCGGGUGCUAACGUCCGUCGUGAAGAGGGAAACAACCCAGACCGCCAGCUAAGGUCCCAAAGUCAUGGUUAAGUGGGAAACGAUGUGGGAAGGCCCAGACAGCCAGGAUGUUGGCUUAGAAGCAGCCAUCAUUUAAAGAAAGCGUAAUAGCUCACUGGUCGAGUCGGCCUGCGCGGAAGAUGUAACGGGGCUAAACCAUGCAC
rnacentral:rRNA from 1 species